rnacentral:misc_RNA from 1 species
UUUCGUUUCCUCGCUCGUUCCUUCUUCCGUGGCGCGCUGGCCUUCAGACGGAGGGGCCGGGGGUGGGUUGGGCCGCUUCGUUUGCUCUCGGGCCUCCCCCGGGUUGGCACCCGGGGAAGCAACAGGGUUGGGUACGCAGAGGGUGUGGUUUGGACAUUGCCGCUUGGCGCUGGGGAGCCGGAUUGGUCACCUGGCGGCCCCACGCCUUGUUUCAGCUUGCUCGAAGCUGUCCUUCUAGUAAUGAUCCUUCCGCAGGUUCACCUACGGAAA